GGCAAGAUGGCCGAGUUGGUCUAAGGCGUCAGGUUUAGGUCCACCUAAAUGAAUCAGCUUGUGUUUUGAAAAACAACAAACAAAAGCUUCCUGAUCAUCUUUCGAUGGCGUGGGUUCGAAUCCCACUCUUGUCA